rnacentral:rRNA from 1 species
AGUGAACGCUGGCGGUAGGCCUAACACAUGCAAGUCGAACGGCAGCACAGUAAGCGCUUGCUCUUACGGGUGGCGAGUGGCGGACGGGUGAGGCAUACAUCGGAAUCUACUUUUUCGUGGGGGAUUACGUAGGGACACUUCCGCUAAUACCUCAUACGACCUACGGGUGAAAGCAGGGGAUCUUCGGACCUUGCGCGACUCUAUUAGCCGAUGUCGGAUUAGCUAGUUGGCGGGGUAAAGGCCCACCAAGGCGACGAUCCGUAGCUGGUCUGAGAGGAUGAUCAGCCACACUGGAACUGAGACACGGUCCAGACUCCUACGGGAGGCAGCAGUGGGGAAUAUUGGACAAUGGGCGCAAGCCUGAUCCAGCCAUACCGCGUGAGUGAAGAAGGCCUUCGGGUUGUAAAGCCCUUUUGUUGGGAAAGAAAAGCAGCAGGUGAAUACCCCGCUGUUCUGACGGUACCCAAAGAAUAAGCACCGGCUAACUUCGUG